GACAGAGGGUGCAAACGUUGUUCGGAAUUACUGGGCGUAAAGCGAGUGUAGGCGGUUCGCUAAGUCGGAUGUGAAAGCCCUGGGCUCAACCCAGGAAGUGCACUCGAAACUGGCGAGCUAGAGUACUGGAGAGGUUGGUGGAAUUCUCGGUGUAGAGGUGAAAUUCGUAGAUAUCGAGAGGAACACCGGUGGCGAAGGCGGCCAACUGGACAGAUACUGACGCUGAGACUCGAAAGCGUGGGGAGCGAACAGG
rnacentral:rRNA from 1 species